UAGUCCACGCCGUAAACUAUGGACACUUGGUGUUGGAGGUAUUGACCCCUUCAGUGCCGGAGCUAACGCGUUAAGUGUCCCGCCUGGGGAGUACGGUCGCAAGAUUAAAACUCAAAGAAAUUGACGGGGGCCCGCACAAGCGGUGGAGCAUGUGGUUUAAUUCGAUGCAACGCGAAAUACCUUACCUGGGUUUAAAUUGCAGUAGACCGCACCAGAGAUGGUGCUUCUCUUCGGAGCUGCUGUGAAGGUGCUGCAUGGCUGUCGUCAGCUCGUGUCGUGAGAUGUUGGGUUAAGUCCCGCAACGAACGCAACCCCUACCAUUAGUUGCCAGCAUUUAGUUGGGCACUCUAGUGGGACUGCCGACGUUAAGUCGGAGGAAGGUGGGGAUGACGUCAAGUCCUCAUGGCCCUUAUGUCCAGGGCUACACACGUGCUACAAUGGGGAAUACAAAGGGUUGCCAAGCCGCAAGGUGGAGCUAAUCCCAGAAAAUUCCUCUAAGUUCGGAUUGAGGUCUGCAACUCG
rnacentral:rRNA from 1 species